rnacentral:tRNA from 1 species
GUUUCCAUAGUGUAGUGGUUAUCACGUCGACCUAACACGCUUAAGGUUCUGAGUUAAAUCCUCAAUCCGGCUGGAAACA